GUCUCUCCAUAGACAUCCGAUAAAAGUAGAAUGAUAUAGAGAAGGUUAGUAUGACCCUCACGCAUGAUGACACACAUAAAUUGAGAAAUGAUCUAAAGUUUU